GAUGCAGCGUGGAAACACUGCGCAGGGCAUGGCGGGAGUUGCGUUGUCGUGGUAACGGUUGCUAGGCGACGUCAGAACCCGGCCCGCGUAGAGACGCGGCGGUGGUGGGCGCCGCUUGAGGUGUCUAUGACCGCCAAACGUAUUUUGGAGAUGGCCUCAGAAGCCUGGAUUUGAGGCCCCCCUGAACGCGGCCUGGCCUGGGGUUCCGGGCAUAGAACGCACCCCUUAGAGGUGUGGACACGGCGGUGAAGCCCUGGCGAAGAGACAGAGAGAUCGUCCAUGCUCGGAUUCACUCCCCGAAUACCCUCCACAACCGCCGAAGCCAGGACUCUGGAACUCCAUCUGGUGUCCCACGCCACAGCAGAGAGUUGGAUUGGAAGUGGAGCAGCCGGGAUUCGAACUGGCACCCAUGUGAGAUGCCGGCACUGCAGGAGGAGGCUUUACCCGCCACACCACAGCACUGGUGAUGUUUUAGCCACUGUGCUCUACACCCACGCCUGGUGAGUUUCUUUUUCUUUACUUUCCCCUCUUUUUCCUCCUCUUUCCUCCCUAUCACACAUGUAUUUUCUAGUUUUCUGUGCAAACAACAUAUGUUCCAUGUAUUUUAAGCUUAAGAUUCAUUAUCAACAUCAUUCCUUGUAAGUGGUUUCCAAAGUAAGAUUUUAAUAUGUGUACUUUAAAUUUUAAUUUUCUUCCCCUCAACAUUUUAAUUAUAGAAAUCCAAACAUACAGCCAAGUUGAAAGAAUUUAGAGUGAACACCAUGUACCUAGCUUCUGUUAAACAUGUACAUUUUUUAGAAAAGAUUCAUUUAUUUUAUUUGAAAGGCCGAGGGGCCGGCGCUGUGGUGCAGCGGGUUAACAC